CGGCAUUCUGUGGACUAUGAAAUUUUAUGCCCUUCUGGGGACUUGUGUAAAAAAUCGUGAAAUCAUCAUAAAGGGGACUUGGUAAGUGUAAACAUUGUGGGGACGGUAGGUUUUUGGUGUAUUCAUUGUGUGGACUCCUGAUGUUUUAAUGUAAACAUUGUGGGGACUGAGCACGGUAGGAAAACCUGUAGCACUUAUAAUUUCAUUUACAAUGAAGACUUCAUUUUACAUAUUUUCAAAAUGCACAUUACCUAUUUACACGUACAGCAAUUAUUAAAAUAUUUGGUUCAGAAUUGACUUUAAGCCAGUCGCAUAAUCCAGUUUUCAAAGGAGAGGGGCAGUGCCCUAAUUAAUUGAAGGGGUGUUAGCACCAGCCAUCUUCUUCAUCAAUUAAACGAUUUAAAAUUGAUUAAAAUACUCAUUAAUAAUUCAUAAACCUUGUGGCAAAUAGGGUUGGGCGAUAUUAAAAAAAUCAUCUCACGAUUAUUGUCAAGGGAAUUAUCACGAUAUUCGAUAAUAUCGCGAUAAAUGCAACAAAAAUGACCACAUUUUUUCAAUUUUAAUUAGUAUCAAAGCAUAGUAAGCUUACAUAUAAGAUAAUAUGAAGGUUUUUUUAGUCUAUUAAUAUAAUAACUGUCCAUGCAGUGUCUACUGUGUCGCCGCUGGCACAAUGCCGUGGGCACACAGCGCAGGCAAUCAGCAGAUUAAUACAUAAAUAUCAGUUAGCUUUUGUAUCGUAUUAAAUUCGUAUUUAAUUCAGGAAAUAGUUUUAAUUCUUUUAAAAACUAUAUUUUCUAGCAAUUGAAUGAUCUUUUUACGAUUAUAUAACAGCUAUAUGCACAUGCGAAGCAAUAUCACGAUAGUCAUUGAGCAUGACGAUAAUUUCGAUAUAUCGUGCCUCAAGUUUCUACCUUCGAUACGAUAAUCGCCAUUGAAAAUAUCGCGAUAAAUCAAAAUAGCGAAAUAUCGCCCAACCCUAGUGGCAAAUCAUGCCAGCCAUAAUAUUCACGUGGAGUGACUUUAUAUCUGAUAAAGCAUGUGGCAUUAUAUAAUUGUUCAUCCUAAAACAUCCUAAUUGUUCAUUCAAAACACUCGUUGUCGUGUUUUAUCAGACAUAAAACGCUCGGCUGCGCCUCGCGUUUUAUAUCUGAUAAAACACUCCUACUCGUGUUUUAAAUAGUACUAAGUAAAUUAAACCAUUAAAAAUUCGAUUAAGAGCAUCGUUUCUGCAACCCUCAAAAUUUUAACUGGCACUGCGUAGCAUUCUACUGGCGAAAGUGGUACCAAAAAUACGUUUAGGAGACACAUAGUGGUUAAUACCAUGAAGAUAGAGCGAGUUGAUAUCGUUUAUCGUUUAUGUGGAUCAACGACAUUUCCUUGCUUCGUUUAUAACGUUCAUUAAUUCCAACAAUGUGUUAACCGUACAUCCUGUGCCCAAGUGCAGGAGUUGCUCUGCAACUAGCAGGGUGAUAACUGGGAGGGGCGCAUUGGUUUCAUACUUUCGUUCAUGCAUCAAUGAUUGCAGCACUCCUAUAAGGUUAUCUGACAAUUUGUUGGGUAAUACCGCAGCCUCCAGUGAUAUGUCUUAGGAGAGAUAAGAACUUGAGUGAUCACUUGGUUAGAUCUAAAUUGCUUGAAGAGAAAAAUUGUUCAGUGGGAAUGUUUAAAUGUGGAACUAAAUAAUGUAAAUUUGUGAUAUAUACAAGAUGUACAUGUUCUAGCAGUUAAUUUCAAAACCGAUUAUUCUAUAUAAAUUAUCAGUGUGAUUGUAAUUCGAAGGGGUGUAAAAAGGGUGGCAUGCAAAAUGUGGGGAGCGCAGUACUUCAUUUAGAUUGCAGUUUAACAAACCGUUUUUGGAUAAGAUUUUUGUGAUAUCAGGUUCCAUUAAGGGCAAGCUAAGUGUCAUUCAAUAACUGUUUUAUUAUAAAUUUGAAACAAUAAUUUUUUAAGAAAAUUGAUUUUUCACAAUAUAUUUAUCACGCGUACUCUAUUAGAAACUCCGUAUUAUACAAACACUUGCUGCCAGUGUAAGUAGAGUCUUCGAUAAAACUUGUAUUUUACAGAUAGUUUGAAAUCUACACAUCCAGAAGUUCCAUAUUAGACAGGGUGUCCCAAAAAAACGUAACCCGCAUAAAUAAUUUUGUAUUCGCUUGAAAUUAUUAUUCACAAUAGUUUAAUGAACUUGACAUUUCUGUGCCUCUGGGAGUUCAUAUAACAAUAUUAUAGCAGGAAGAAGAUGGCCAUUUGAUGACUGUUGUUUUAUUUUGAGGUACCUAUUCAAAGCUGUCAAAUUAUUUAAUUACCUUCUUCCAACGCAUUCCUGAAUUCAUAAUACAUACAAAAUUAAUUUAUGCGGAUUUCGUUUUUAAUGCAACAUAAUUAUUUAUGCAUAAUUAUUUAUGCGGUUUUUUGGGACACCCUGUAGUUUUCGUAAACGGUUAAUCAAAAUUAAAAAGUUGUGCAACGAUAUAAAC
rnacentral:lncRNA from 1 species